CGUUUCUGAGAGGAGGAGCGUGGUGGGGGCAAGAGGUGCGGAGUUAACACACAGACCCCGGGAGUUGGAUGAAAGCGGGCUUGAGGCAAGCAGCCCGCAGACUCGUCUAUUUCAGUUAGAACAACAGCUUAUAUAGCCAAGACCAGCCAAUCCGGUCAAGGGGCGGUCUAUGCCCCAACCAAUCACAGCCUGUUGCCAGGCAGUUUCCAAAGCCAUCCAAUCACAGCCUGUUGCCAGGCAGGCUCCGUUGCCAGGUGGGUUUCAAAGCCAUUCCUGAGUAACUGACGCUUGCUUGCCAGCGGCCAUCUUGGCAUGGCCUUCUCAUUCCACCACAGGUGUCCAUCUUUAUUUUUAGAGACUUGUCUCAGAUUUCUAGUAACCUUUCUGUUCGGCGCAUAUGUAAGAGGAGUUCUCAGAACAUGGGUGGAGCUUAUUGGAUGUGGGCUUCAGCAUAAGGUGAUCUGACUGGGCCAUUCCCUUAGAGAACCUCUGAUAUUAGUGUCUUCAGGGCUUUCUUCCUGAACUGGCCAGAUUCUCGGGGAGGAUUAUGGGAUUUCUUGCCUGGAGGUUUUAGACCUGGCUUUCACUAUUCUAAAAGCUUAGUGAGGAAAGACAGCAGGAAGUCAAUUUACCUGUCUGUGCAGUCUCCACCAUCAACCUGCCUGGUUUUCUCCAGGCCAGAGACUCCCCUUUCUCACUCCCUGUAGAAAAGAACACCCUUCUCCUGCCAGGAUAAAUGAACAGUCCCUGAGCUACGCUGGGUGGGAGAAGCUAUCAAGAUACCCAGCUAGUUCUCAAAAAGACUCUCCAUCAGUAUCCAUAGUUCCAGUCUCACCUUCAAACGCAUAUCCAUGGAUGUUAUGUCACGGGUUCCUGAGCCUUUGGGUGUCCUUGGUAAAACUGGGCAGCUGCUCUGGUGCCCACUGUCAGCCAAGGAAGCUGCUCCCUCAAGUCAGCCGGGGCAGGCAACACGCAUCCACCUGCUUGCCAGUUUCAAUCCACCGUAUUUGCCUUUUCACCUCAAAUAUUGGUGAUUACAGUAGCUACUGGGCAUGACUCAGCCCUCAGAUGCUUUGGGCAAUUGCAAGGACGGCCUGUAGACAGACCCACUCCUCCGUACAGCAGGCUCACCCGGCUUCCCACCUCCUGGUACCAUCCUCCACUUCUCUCUGGAAGUUGCCUAUCGGCUUUUGAACAUGCUUGAUUAUGCGACACUUGGCUUCCACCCUGUGUGCCUUACUCUCUGGGUACCCUUGAAAGUGUUAUCGUGUGUGUACAUGUUCUUCAUCCACUACCAGAUGGCAAAGUCAUGGGAGGCAGGAGCUCUCAGCAAAUGUGCCUCACUAAUAUUUAUUAUGCUUUUCUUUACCGAGAGCUGCUCAGGGUUGCAAUUCUUCUAGAGAAAGGAUGGGGGAAAAUCCUAAUCAAACUAAAGAACACGCCUUCCAGAACAAGGCAAGAACUGACUUAUUGAAGGAUUGGGGCACGUUCUGAGUUUUUUUCCUAUGAUGUCUUUGAGCAUUAAAGGAAUGCAACACACCAGGCAUAAGCUAUUUCCUUAGGGAGUCCAAAAGUUUACAAUACAAAGGCAUUUGGAAUUGCUUUUGAACACCAGGUAUUUAAAGUCUCCAACAUAAUGACUUAUUAAUAAAGUUCUCAGCUGCUCCUAAGUGAAUGUUAAUAACAAAUCGCAUUUAAUCAGUCAAUAUAAUCUGAUUAACUGGAAUAAAAGAGGCAUUUAGAGCCCCAAUAAUUUGCUGAACUUGCACUACACUAAAGGAGUCCCCCUUGCAAACAAAGUAAAAACAUUGUUGAACCUGCGUGUGAGGGGUAUGAGCCAUGCCCGAGACCCAGGCGCUGCGGGCUUCUUGACUCACCCAUACUCAGCAGCAACCUCUCCAGGGCCCUGUCUGAUCCAACUCCGGUUCUUCUGUCUUCCACGUUCUGAAGUCACAAAGCUGGGCAGCCUCCUCUGGGUGCCCCGAGGCCAUGGAGCUGGAAACCACCACUAUUUGAGUCAUGGAGACAGAGGAGAAGUGGAAGGUACCCAGAGCCACCAGCCACAGUCUUCUGAGUCCAUGUAGGUCAGGGGGACUCUUCCUGUCUCUCCAAAGCUUAGGGUCUGCUGACCACCAUUUCCCAUUCCUCUCUAGCAGUUAGCGAGGAUGUUCAAGCAAAGAGCUGCUUCACCAUCCUCAGCUCCAAAUUUGGGCAACCAUCAGGGGAUGGAAAGAAUCAAGUAAAAAGACCCCAUUAACAUCAUUUUGAAACUUACCAAAUCCAAGACUGUGGGGAGCAACUGAGACUAGACUAAGUUACUGGAAUUAAGACUUACUCUAUGCAUCUGCUCUCCCACAAUAUGGCGCUGAGAGGGAGCAAACAACCUCUACGCAGCUGCCUCAUCAGUUUGACUGAUAAGCUGCAGGAGCUGAUCCUGCUCCUUAUUGGAGGAGAGCAGUGUGCUUGGCGUGUGGGUAGCAGAGUUGGGAUUGGUGGAAGAGGACUAUAAAGGAGGAGAGAGACAACAUGCACCAGGAACAUCUGAGCAGCCCCCGAGAGAGCCGGCCGGCGGUGUGCCGCUCCUCCGCGGAGGUGGAGGGGCCGGCAGCUAACCCAGGAAGAGCCAGGCAGAAAGAACAGCGCAGGGUCCAGUGUCGUUCCUCUGCGAAUGCAGGAGCGACACAAGACCCUGAUCUGCUUUCCCUGCUGUGCUUAUCGAACUACCUUGCUUCUCCCCUGAGCACCCCCUGUCCCAUGUCUCCACUCCUUUGCUUCUGCUCCUUGCUGGACCUGCAGUGUCCACUCCCCCAUGAUCAGAGUUGGAUGGCACAAGUUGUGCGUGUGUGUGUGUGUGUGUGUCUGCAGCACUCCUUCCCCGGACUCUCUCCUUAGGUUCUUCCCCAAAAUUCAAAACAAGCCUUACUUAAAAAAAAAAAAAAAGAUUUAUCUUGUUUAUUUGGAAGGCACAGCUACAGAAAGAUAGAGGGAAGACAGAGAGAUUUUCCAUCUGUUGGUUCACUCCCUGAAUGGCUGCAAUGGUUAGGGAUGGUCCAGGCCAAAGAGCAGGAUCUUCCUGAUCUCCCAACACCAUAGGCUUCCAAGUGUGUCCCUGAAGCCCCUUGCACCUGGGAACCUUGCUGGGAGGUGCUGACAGCCCUGGCUAUGCCUUCAGGAAUGCUUCUGGCCAGUGCCGGAAGGGAAGACCGAGAUAGGCCUGAGUCUCUUUGCCUCUUCCUGAAUGUGGGAAAUUGUCAUUGAGAAAACCCAGAAUUGAGCCUGAACAGCUGAGCCUGAAGAGGAGCAUGGAGCCCAAGCUCUGUUGGAGUGUGUGACCCCUGCACGGCCGUCUGGCAGGCAAACCUGAUUAAAACCGCAGAGCUUUUGGUAACCUGACACAGGUCGGAAAGAGCUCUUCAGUCUCUUGGCGGACCUGGAACUCACUUGAGCUGAGUGACAGGCUCCGUGCGAAGUUCCAGGGACACAACAGGGAAUCCAGAGUCGCCCCUGCCUUCAGCGAAGCUGCUCUCUGCUGGGAGAGGAAGGAACGGAAAGCAAGGGCUGCAGACCCAGGCGAGCACUGUGCAUUCUAUGCGUUUUACCAAAGGAGAAUCCGGCUCAGAGAGGCACGCCCACCAGGCUGCAAGGGCCAGAACCUGAAUGCAGGUGGGCGGCAUUGGAAGGUGAUUGUCUCUGCUUCCUUCAGGGUCACCCUUGUGGGAGGACAGCAUUCCCACUGCACACCUCCCCAAGCUGAAUCUCUCACGAACAUUUACUUUCUAGCACUUUCUAGGGACCACGCUUUAGGAGAACACGAUGCCUAGAUCCCCAAGCAAAACAUGAAUACCGGGGAGAGAAAUGAGAAAGAAGCUGUCACACCCUUCUGUGGACAGGGUCAGGUUGGAGGACUUGUUCCAAAAGUCAAGGGGAUGUGCAGUGCGCAGAGGACAUGGGAUUUCCCCCACCAAGUGCCACCCUCUGCGGCCAUCCGUGGGGGCCUUCCAAAUGACAGCUCACUUAACUCUAAAGGAAAGAGAGAACAAGGCUCGGCUAAGCCUCUCUUGAGUGACUGAGCUGAGACACUGGAUUCAUGUUCGUGUGGCUUCAGUUCUGUGCGUUUCUAACUGCACCCAUUGCCCCCAGGUGCCGAAAACAAACAAGGAACACUGCUGUGCUUCAGCAUCUACACUGACAUUUGGAAUCCAUUGGUCCUGCAGCUGUUCACUGUCCCUCAUCCCCCACCCCCACCCCGUGUCCCUUCUUCCCUCCUGCUCCUUAGCAAAUUCCAGCAGGCACUGUGCCCAGCAGGUUAAAUGCGGCUUCCGAUGCUCACCUCCCAGAUGGAGUACCUGGAACCAAGUCCCAGCUCUGCUUGUCAUCCAGCUUCCUGCCGUGCACCUGGGAGGCAGCACAGGGUGACCCAUGAACUUGGGUUCCUGCACCCCCACGGGAACCCAAAUGGAUUUCCUGGCUCCUGGCUUCAGCCUGGCCCAGCCACAGCUGUUGCAGGUUUUGGGGGACGGAAACCAGUGGAUCUCCCUCUCUCUACCUCUCUGCCUUUCAAAUAAAUAGAUACCUUUUCA